CUCCUACCCUCCAGGCUAGUGGGGUAGACAGCCAAGCGAACAGAGGAGUCAAAAGAUGACACACAGGAAGCUAUAUGGAGUAAGGUGCUGAGGCUGAAGAGGGCUGCGUUAGAGGGAGAGGUGUGCGCUGGGGUGGGACGGCCUUCCUCCCCCAGGUGGAGAUUACAGCAGCGGAUGCCAGCUGGCCUUUCUUUUUGGUGAGGAAGAUUGUCGCUGAGCUGACAUCUGUGCCAAUCUUCCUCUAUUUAUGUGGGACGCUGCCACAGCGUGGCUUGAUGAGUGGUGCAGGUCCACGCCCAGGAUCCAAACCCAGGAACCCUGGGCCAGAGAAGUGGAGCAGGCCGAACUUAACCACUGUGCCACCAGGCAGCCCCUGGCCUUACCUGACAGUAGGAAACAGCUGGUCAGAUGUGGGUAGGCUAUGUGCGGUGGAUCCUGCUGACUCUCCAUCUGAGAUACACCAACUGGCCUUUGUCAUCACCUGAAACACUUCCUUCACUGCAAGCCCAUCUUACCUGAAUCCUGGGAUGCUUGAAGGGCUGCAGGGAAGAACUGGCCAGAAUCCCCCAUCCUGCCUCCCCUAGGAGAGCUUCCUGAGCAAGAUCCAGUAUCCCUCAGCCCCACCUUGACUAGCAAACUGGAGGCCCUCCCUGGCAGCGUGACACAACUGUCC
rnacentral:lncRNA from 1 species